UACGUAGGGUGCAAGCGUUGUCCGGAAUUAUUGGGCGUAAAGAGCUCGUAGGCGGUUUGUCGCGUCUGCUGUGAAAACUCGGGGCUUAACUCCGGGCCUGCAGUGGGUACGGGCAGACUAGAGUGCGGUAGGGGAGACUGGAAUUCCUGGUGUAGCGGUGAAAUGCGCAGAUAUCAGGAGGAACACCUGUGGCGAAAGCGGCUCACUGGACCACUACUGACGCUGAUGCGCGAAAGCUAGGGGAGCAAACAGG
rnacentral:rRNA from 1 species